rnacentral:rRNA from 1 species
AACGAACGCUGGCGGCAUGCCUAACACAUGCAAGUCGAACGAGACCUUCGGGUCUAGUGGCGCACGGGUGCGUAACGCGUGGGAACCUGCCCUUAGGUUCGGAAUAACUCCCCGAAAGGGGUGCUAAUACCGGAUAAUGUCUUCGGACCAAAGAUUUAUCGCCUUUGGUUGGGCCCGCGUUGGAUUAGCUAGUUGGUAGGGUAAAAGCCUACCAAGGCGACGAUCCAUAGCUGGUCUGAGAGGAUGAUCAGCCACACUGGGACUGAGACACGGCCCAGACUCCUACGGGAGGCGGCAGUGGGGAAUAUUGGACAAUGGGCGAAAGCCUGAUCCAGCAAUGCCGCGUGAGUGAUGAAGGCCUUAGGGUUGUAAAGCUCUUUUACCCGGGAUGAUAAUGACAGUACCGGGAGAAUAAGCUCCGGCUAACUCCGUG